rnacentral:rRNA from 1 species
UACGUAGGGGGCAAGCGUUGUCCGGAAUCAUUGGGCGUAAAGCGCGCGUAGGCGGCCCGGUAAGUCCGUUGUGAAAGUCAAAGGCUCAACCUUUGAACGCCGAUGGAUACUGCCGGGCUAGAGUCCGGAAGAGGCGAGUGGAAUUCCUGGUGUAGCGGUGGAAUGCGCAGAUAUCAGGUGGAACACCAAUAGCGAAGGCAGCUCGCUGGGACGGUACUGACGCUGAGGCGCGAAAGCGUGGGGAGCAAACAGG